GAGGGUAUAGCUCAGUGGUAGAGUGCAUGCCUAGCACACAUGAGGUCUUGGGUUCAAUCCCAGGUACCUCCA
rnacentral:tRNA from 1 species